rnacentral:lncRNA from 1 species
UCGCAUUUAAGAUUAUAUUGCCCAUGAUUUAGACUUAUUCCUGCUAAGUAAUUAUAAAGAGAUGUACUGUUUUGUUGAUUGGCUGGCCUUGUCCUCAUGAGAGGCGCCAUUUACUUAAGUGCGCGCUAUCAUCAAGAAUUUUAAGAGAGAAAGUUAGUAAUAUUUGGUACUACUAGUUGAUAAUGGAAUUCUGUGAAGUGUUAUAUAUGACUUAGGAAUCAGAUAGGAGUAAUUGUAACAAUAAAGACAUGGGAACAUUCAAACAAAUAAAACACACUUAUCAUGCAUAUAUAGUUAGUUAAGAAGCAUUUUCUAUCUGUUAGUGUUAGUUUAUUGCUGUAGGGAAAAGCUCAGAUACAAAAGAGCUUAAACAAAAGCAAAUAAAUAAAUGAAAGACAACAAAAGUAGAUACUGAAGAAGGAAAAUAACAAGUAUGUUUAGUAUAGCAGACACAAGACCUCAUUAUUGUAAUAUGUCUGUUUUAUGCAGAUGCUUUUUGAAGAACCAGUUCUGUUUGUGGAAAUAGCAAACAUAAUAAUAGGAAUUGGCUUGACCAUCUUACGCUAACUCAUAUAUAGAUGCCUACUGCCACAUUCUGAGAAAAAAAAAUUGACAAAGAGAAUCGCCAACUCAAACAAGAUUUGUGCACAAACCACUUUAAACUCCAAUGUUUACAAGGUACCUGAAGUAGAUAACAAUACGUAGCAGAACAGCAAAAUCCUAUUUCAAGUCUUACAGCACCCUCCACUUAUCAAGUGGUUCUACCAAGGUAAAUUCCCGAAUACGAAAAGUUAUACAAGUUGGUCCAACUCCUAGCUGCUUCACAAGUUUAGCUCCAAGUCAAACCCGGUUCACCUACAUUGCACAAGUGUAUUUAGUAUUACAAAGAAAUGAGGGAAAACAGGUAAAUACAGGAAAAUAAAAGGAUGUGCCCAAUCUUGGGCCAUCCGGAAAUAAAUCAUGAAUGUAAGUUAACUACCUAAUUUGUGCACAAAUUUGUAUGAAUUUUUGGCAGAACUCCACCAUUAGAAAAAGUCUAUUUUGAUUGUCAAAUUCACAAACAAGAAAAAAAACCAAUCGGACAUAACCCCCACAUCAAUUUACAUACAAAAUCCAAGUGUCUAUUUAUACAAACAAAAGAGUAGAAAGAGAGGGAUGCAGCAGAAACAAUUUCGAAAUAAUUUAAAACUUACCCACUCAAAGAGGCUGUGUAAUGGUUGCUCUAGGUGUAGGUGUGUUAAUCGGAGACCAAGAGAGCUGGUUUGUUGCUGCUGCUAUAGCGAAGAAGAAGGAUGAAGCGCCCAAAUCCACUUCCAAGCGGGGAUUUGCUAAGAAAGAGAAAGAGAAAGGCGUGAGUGAGGCGGAGAAAGAGAAAAGAGUAAAAAAAAGUUGGGGCUUUUGCUGAGAAAAGCUAAUUGUAACUAGU